GGGGUUGUAGCUCAGUGGAUAGAGUGGAAGAUUGCAAUGGAUCCCUCCCUCGGGUUCGCUAAAUUGCAAGCUAUCUUUAGGUCGCCGGUUCGAUCCCGGCCAAUCCCU